GCGAUGUUUCAUUCAAAUUUCUGCCCUAUCAACUUUCGACGGUAGGGUAGUGGCCUACCGUGGUGGUAACGGGUGACGGAGGAUUAGGGUUCGAUUCCGGAGAGGGAGCCUGAGAAACGGCUACCACAUCCAAGGAAGGCAGCAGGCGCGCAAAUUACCCAAAUCCCAACUCGGGGAGGUAGUGACAAGAAAUAACGAUGCUCCGGCCAUCGGUCGGGUAAUCGGAAUGAGGACAAUUUAAAUCCCUUAUCGAGGAUCAAUUGGAGGGCAAGUCUGGUGCCAGCAGCCGCGGUAAUUCCAGCUCCAAUAGCGUAUAUUUAAGUUGCUGCGGUUAAAAAGCUCGUAGUCGGAUUUCGGGUGGUGCCUACCGGUCCGCCCUUGGUGUGUACUGGUAGGCGCCACCUUUCUGCCGAGGACGGGUUCCUGGGCUUAGCUGUCUGGGGCCCGGAGUCGGCGAUGUCACUUUGAGUAAAUUAGGGUGUUUAAAGCAGGCUUAUGCUCUGUAUACACUAGCAUGGGAUGACACGAUAGGACUUCGGUCUAUCUUGUCGGUCUGUAGAUCGGAGUAAUGAUUAAGAGGGACAGUCGGGGGCAUUCGUAUUUCGUAGUCAGAGGUGAAAUUCUUGGAUUUACGGAAGACGAACUUCUGCGAAAGCAUUUGCCAAGGAUGUUUUCAUUGAUCAAGAACGAAAGUCGGGGGCUCGAAGACGAUUAGAUACCGUCGUAGUCUCGACCAUAAACGAUGCCAACA
rnacentral:rRNA from 1 species